rnacentral:misc_RNA from 1 species
GCCUCUAUGAUGUUGCCCUCGGGGCUGAAGAGGCUCCGUUUGGCCGUGAAGGACGACCACCACUACCAGGCUCUUCUUCCCACUCUGUCCUCGCUCCUUGGGCGGCUGCCGGAGCUGAGAGGCCUUGAGUUGCACGUGGCUGCGGGACAGGACGCGGCGCUGCUUCGGCCUCUGCCGGACGUGCGAUUCCUUUCCUUAUUUGUGUCCGGCGUCAAGGAAGCGCCGGUGGAGAGGACGAGUCGGGUCGUCCGGGCACUGCAGUCCCCAAGAGGGUACUCGAGGCUCCUCUUCCCUGGCGCGUUGGAGUGCGAGGAGGCGUUCGCUCGCCUCGUGGAGCAACUCGGCCGCGAGGGAGUCCGGCUGAGGGAGGCUGGGGGAGUGGUUGCAUCUCCCCGAAUCGACGAAGGAAAAGCAGGGCGGCUGGAAGGCCUCGUCAGAAGGGAGUUGGGCUGUGGCUUCGGGGCGUUGGACGAAGAAGCCAUCUGGAGGUUAGUUCCCCUUUCAUAAGUAAGAAUCAAGAGAGCAGAGUGAGUUUCCCUAAUUAAUAAAAAGAAAUAAAAUAAAAUAUAUAUUAGUUGUAAGGACGGCGAGUCCAGAGGACUGUGUGGCCAGAGGACUGCGAGGCCAAAGGACUGUGAGAUCAGAUGACUAUGAGGCCAGAGGACUGUGAGAUCAGAAGGCUGUGAGGCCAGAGGACUGUGAGAUCAGAGGACUGUGAAGCCAGAGGACUGCGAGGCCAGAGGACUGUGAAAUCAGAUGACUGUGAGGCCAGAGGACUGUGAGAUCAGAAGGCUGUGAGGCCAGAGGACUGUGAGAUCAGAGGACUGUGAGAUCAGAAGGCUGUGAGGCCAGAGGACUG